AGGAAACGAAUUAAAAUUGGAACAGCUGUAAAUUUUAGCGUGUUCAGUAGUUGUAGUUGUAGUGGACAAGCACUUAUAAUUGUAGAGGCAGCAGCAAACAGAAAGUCAGAAAGAUGAGAAAACAGGGCGGAGUGAGAUAUCAUUCUAAGCAGUCACAGUCUUUGAGACCAGCAGACUCGGUGAUUGGUCAGCUCGUCGCAUGGUCCAGGUAUGACGUCAGUGCGGGAGCGAGUUGACAGAAGAGGAAGCGCGCAGGCUGAAGGAGAAGCAGAAGCUGGAGAACCGACGAUGACAGUGGACGCGGCCAAGAAAAGCGUCGCUGACUCUCAACGGGGAGCAGAUGGAAACGCGAAGAAAUUCACCUGGAACGUUCAAUUCCAGACUAAAUUGAGGACGUUUGUCCCCAGAUUCCGCUUUUCCUCACCAACAGGUGAGACGUGUGGGCCGGCGGCCUGGCGGAGUGACAGGAGGUGUGUUUUUGUCUUUGGUUAUCUAGCUGUAUGAGUGUUAAAUGCCUGUCAUAAAGCUAGAUAACCGAAAGUAGAAAUGACUUCCCCAGCGUCACGUUCAAGCAUCUCCACAGGCUGCGAAAUCAGCUGGGUGCAUCUUUACUUAGAAAAGGUUUUCCGCCGACGACACCGAACCAUCGUCCCUUUCCACAAUGCGGGCAGAAGCGUCAUUAAAAGAGAAACAAGAGCAGAGGAGGAAAAGAGGUUGGUCCUCCUCCCCCCUCCUCCAUCCACCAUCAUCCUUUUUACCCACGAGCCUCUGAUGCCAUCUGCACUGCCAACGGGGGGGACACGUUUGCCCGUGCCAGGAGGCGGACAAAGACCCUGCAGGAUCCCUGGAGUAUGGGCGCGCUCGCAGGAGCCAUCUUGGGAGAUCUUGCCACGACACCUAAAAUGGCUGGGCUGGCAUGCGAGGAUGGGACAGGAUCUCCUUUGGAGUCUGCAGGAACUUUCAAACCACAGCGUCAUCAGUUUGUUGUUGCUCCAAUCACAACAUGAACUAAAGGAAUCAUCUGUCGAAUAAACAGUGCUAUUAGGAAAACUGUCCAAAUGAUUGUUUAACUUAAAAUAUAUCUGCUGCCUUCGUCUGCAUUGAAAGAUUCUGUAGGACCGUGGAACCAUUGUUUGUACCAUUUACUCUUUGAAAAAUGCUUUUCUCACAUUUCACUUGUCACAGCUCAUGCUUUCACCAUAUUUGUUCACGUGUGAAACAGUGAUGCAAAAUGUAUUAUUGGCACAUAAUCAAAAUAAAGAACAUAUUAAUCCGAUCCCA
rnacentral:lncRNA from 1 species